AUGACCAAGAUUUUCAUCCGAUGCAAAAUUCGAUGCACGCAUGGAAGACCCGCCUCUGCGGUACCAUGGCCUUCACUCCUUGAAUCCAUAGCCCUUCUUGCCGUCGUGUUGUUCACCGAAGUGGAGCUUCCAGUAGCUCCCGAUCAUACCUCCAUAUGAUCUAGUCCCUCCCGGGACUAGGUCGUGUGUAUCGCAUUGCCACGAACUGUUCCACCAC
rnacentral:lncRNA from 1 species